AGCGAACGCUGGCGGCAGGCCUAACACAUGCAAGUCGAACGAACCUUUCGGGGUUAGAGGCGGACGGGUGAGUAACACGUGGGAACGUGCCUUUAGGUUCGGAAUAACUCAGGGAAACUUGUGCUAAUACCGAAUGUGCCCUUCGGGGGAAAGAUUAAUCGCCUUUAGAGCGGCCCGCGUCUGAUUAGCUAGUUGGUUGAGGUAAUGGCUCACCAAGGCGACGAUCAGUAGCUGGUCUGAGAGGAUGAUCAGCCACAUUGGGACUGAGACACGGCCCAAACUCCUACGGGAGGCAGCAGUGGGGAAUCUUGCGCAAUGGGCGAAAGCCUGACGCAGCCAUGCCGCGUGAAUGAUGAAGGUCUUAGGAUUGUAAAAUUCUUUCACCGGGGACGAUAAUGACGGUACCCGGAGAAGAAGCCCCGGCUAACUUCGUG
rnacentral:rRNA from 1 species